CUACGGAGGGUGCAAGCGUUAUUCGGAAUCACUGGGCGUAAAGGGUGCGUAGGCGGUUUGAUAAGUCUGAUGUGAAAUCCUAUGGCUCAACCAUAGAACUGCAUUGGAAACUGUCAGACUAGAAUACUGAAGGGGCAGAUGGAAUUAGUGGUGUAGGGGUAAAAUCCGUAGAUAUCACUAGGAAUACCGAAAGCGAAAGCGAUCUGCUGGGAAGUUAUUGACGCUGAGGCGCGAAAGCGUGGGGAGCAAACGGGAUUAGAAACCCGUGUAGUCC
rnacentral:rRNA from 1 species